UACUAAAAUGAUACCCUGAAUAUACUCAGUCUCAUCUGAUCUUGGAAGCUAAAUAGAAUCCAGUACAGUCUGAUUAGUACUUGGAUGGGAGACCACCUGGAAGUACUAGAUACUAUAGGGU
ensembl:rRNA 5S_rRNA 5S ribosomal RNA